UACGUAGGUCCCGAGCGUUGUCCGGAUUUAUUGGGCGUAAAGCGAGCGCAGGUGGUUUAUUAAGUCUGGUGUAAAAGGCAGUGGCUCAACCAUUGUAUGCAUUGGAAACUGGUAGACUUGAGUGCAGGAGAGGAGAGUGGAAUUCCAUGUGUAGCGGUGAAAUGCGUAGAUAUAUGGAGGAACACCGGUGGUGAAAGCGGCUCUCUGGCCUGUAACUGACACUGAGGCUCGAAAGCGUGGGGAGCAAAUAGG
rnacentral:rRNA from 1 species